CAAUUACCAAGACUCAUCAUUUGCCAUCUGUGCUGGCUGCCAGUAGGGCAGUGGAUCAUCAUUUUCUUAGAAUAACCAUAGCCAUUUAUGUCUGAGGCCCUUAGAGAAUUGAUUUUCCCACAGGGCCCUUCUAAGGAAGAAGCAGCAUCUGGCUCUGGUCUUUUGCUUGCUACUUGAAUGCAGACGAGAAGCAGGAUUCUCUCUCAGUGAGAACUCUCUCUACGAGAGUCGUGUUCGGGCUCUCUGGCAGACCUGAGGCUGGCUCUAGGAACAGACUGCAGUUUUCAUCUCAUGGAUGUGUAGUCAGUCAUUUUCUCACAGUCUCUAAGGGGCCGUGCCCUUUGAGACUGCUUUGAGACCUUGCUCUCAACAAAGAGUAAAGUAUUUAGAGCUUCUAAUUCCACUUUUCCUUAAGGGAGGAUGAACUCUGUAGCAAUUACCUUGUGACUUCUGAGGAUCACCUUUGGAAGGCUUGGUGUUACGAACAUUGGGAUAAGAAUUUUACAAAACAUCAAAAAGGUAUUGAAUUGAUAAGUAAAAGAACUGCCUUUUGAGCGUUGCAUGAGAGGAAAAUGUACAAUUUCAGAGUGGGAUUGGGUGUGCAAGGAUGAGUAACCGAUUGCCCAAUAACUUUCAGUCUCUUUCCCUUUUAGGGGCCUGUGUUAUAUUAAGAGUAUUAUAGUUGACAGCUAGGAUGAAAACAGGUCAUCAUUUCCAAAUGAUUUCACAAUCACAGAUGUAACCAGGAUUCUUUAUAAUAAAAAAGCUUAUGUUGGCA
ensembl:lncRNA